UCAGGAUGAACGCUAGCGACAGGCUUAACACAUGCAAGUCGAGGGGCAGCGGGGGUGAUGGCUUGCCAUCACCUGCCGGCGACCGGCGCACGGGUGAGUAACACGUAUGCAACCUGCCCGCCACAGGGGGAUAAGCGGAAGAAAUUCCGUCUAAUACCGCGUGACGCGGCGCCGGGGCAUCCCGGUGCCGCCAAAGGGAUUACCGGUGGCGGAUGGGCAUGCGGCGCAUUAGCUAGUCGGCGGGGUAACGGCCCACCGAGGCGACGAUGCGUAGGGGUUCUGAGAGGAAGGUCCCCCACACUGGUACUGAGACACGGACCAGACUCCUACGGGAGGCAGCAGUGAGGAAUAUUGGUCAAUGGGCGCGAGCCUGAACCAGCCAAGUCGCGUGAGGGAUGACGGUCCUACGGAUUGUAAACCUCUUUUGCCGGGGAGCAAGCGUGCGUUCGUGAACGCGCGUCGAGAGUACCCGGAGAAAAAGCAUCGGCUAACUCCGUGCCAGCAGCCGCGGUAAUACGGAGGAUGCGAGCGUUAUCCGGAUUUAUUGGGUUUAAAGGGUGCGUAGGCGGGAUGCCAAGUCAGCGGUAAAAAUGCGGUGCUCAACGCCGUCGAGCCGUUGAAACUGGCGUUCUUGAGUGGGCGAGAAGUAUGCGGAAUGCGUGGUGUAGCGGUGAAAUGCAUAGAUAUCACGCAGAACUCCGAUUGCGAAGGCAGCAUACCGGCGCCCUACUGACGCUGAGGCACGAAAGCGUGGGUAUCGAACAGGAUUAGAUACCCUGGUAGUCCACGCAGUAAACGAUGAAUGCUAACUGUCCGGCUCGAAUGAGCGCUGGGCGGUACAGCGAAAGCGUUAAGCAUUCCACCUGGGGAGUACGCCGGCAACGGUGAAACUCAAAGGAAUUGACGGGGGCCCGCACAAGCGGAGGAACAUGUGGUUUAAUUCGAUGAUACGCGAGGAACCUUACCCGGGCUCAAACGCAGGAUGACGGGUCCCGAAAGGGGUCUUUCUUCGGACAUUCUGCGAGGUGCUGCAUGGUUGUCGUCAGCUCGUGCCGUGAGGUGUCGGCUUAAGUGCCAUAACGAGCGCAACCCCUGUCCACAGUUGCCAGCAGGUAAAGCUGGGGACUCUGUGGAGACUGCCGGCGCAAGCUGCGAGGAAGGCGGGGAUGACGUCAAAUCAGCACGGCCCUUACGUCCGGGGCGACACACGUGUUACAAUGGCAGGUACAGCGGGAUGCCACGGGGCGACCCGGCGCUGAACCCGAAAACCUGUCUCAGUUCGGAUUGGAGUCUGCAACCCGACUCCAUGAAGCUGGAUUCGCUAGUAAUCGCGCAUCAGCCACGGCGCGGUGAAUACGUUCCCGGGCCUUGUACACACCGCCCGUCAAGCCAUGGAAGCCGGGGGUACCUGAGUGCGUGACCGCGAGGAGCGCCCUAGGGUAAAACCGGUGACUGGGGCUAAGUCGUAACAAGGUAGCCGU
rnacentral:rRNA from 1 species